rnacentral:tRNA from 1 species
GCCUGGGUGGCUCAGUCGGUUGAGCGACCGACUUCAGCUCAGGUCACCAUCUCGUGGUCCGUGAGUUCGAGCCCCACGUCGGGCU